GUGAUUUUCGCUUAAAUGGGGGAUUUCCGAAGAGAAAACGCGUGAUUUUCGCAUAAAUGGGGGAUUCUCGAAGAGAAAACGCUUGAUUUUCGCUUAAAUGGGGGAUUUCCGAAGAGAAAACGCGAGAUUUUCGCUUAAAUGGGGGUUUUGCGAAGGGAAAACGUGUGAUUUCUGGUUAAAUGGGGGAUUUCGGAAGAGAAAACUCGUGAUUUUCGCUUAAAUGGGGGAUUUGCGAGGAGAAAACGCGUGAUUUUCGCUUAAAUGGGGGAUUUGCAAAGAGAAAACGCGUGAUUUUCGGGUUAAAUGGGGGAUUUGCGAAGAGAAAACGCGUGAUUUUCGGAUAAAUGGCGGAUUUGCGAAGAGAAAACGCGUGAUUUUCGCUUAAAUGGGGGAUUUGCGAAGAGAAAAUGCGUGAUUUUCGGUUGAAUACGGGAUUUGCAAAGAGAAAACGCGAGAUUUUCGGGUUAAAUGGGGGAUUUGCGAAGAGAAAACACGUGAUUUUCGGGUUAAAUUGGGGAUUUGCGAAGAGAAAACGCGAGAUUUUCGCUUAAAUGUGGGAUUUCUGAAGAGAAAACGCGUGAUUUUCGCUUAAAUGGGGGAUUUGCGAAGAGAAAACGCGUGAUUUUCGCUUAAAUGGGGGAUUUGCAAAGGGAAAACGCGUGAUUUUCUCUUAAAUGGGGGAUUUGCAAAGAGAAUAUGCGUGAUUUUUGGUUAAAUGGGGGAUUUCCAAUGAGAAAAUGCAUGAUUUUCGCUUAAAUGGGGGAUUUGCAAAGAGAAAACGCGUGGUUUUCGCUUAAAUGGGGGAUUCUUGAAGAGAAAACAAGUGAUUUUCGGGUUAAAUGGGGGAUUUGCGAAGAGAAAACGCGUGAUUUUCGCUUAAAUGGGGGAUUGGCUAAGAGAAAACGCGUGAUUUUCGCUUAAAUGGGGAUUUGCAAAGAGAA
ensembl:lncRNA